UUGCUCCUCUGACGUUAGCGGCGGACGGGUGAGUAACACGUGGAUAACCUACCUAUAAGACUGGGAUAACUUCGGGAAACCGGAGCUAAUACCGGAUAAUAUAUUGAACCGCAUGGUUCAAUAGUGAAAGACGGUUUUGCUGUCACUUAUAGAUGGAUCCGCGCCGCAUUAGCUAGUUGGUAAGGUAACGGCUUACCAAGGCAACGAUGCGUAGCCGACCUGAGAGGGUGAUCGGCCACACUGGAACUGAGACACGGUCCAGACUCCUACGGGAGGCAGCAGUAGGGAAUCUUCCGCAAUGGGCGAAAGCCUGACGGAGCAACGCCGCGUGAGUGAUGAAGGUCUUCGGAUCGUAAAACUCUGUUAUUAGGGAAGAACAAAUGUGUAAGUAACUAUGCACGUCUUGACGGUACCUAAUCAGAAAGCCACGGCUAACUACGUGCCAGCAGCCGCGGUAAUACGUAGGUGGCAAGCGUUAUCCGGAAUUAUUGGGCGUAAAGCGCGCGUAGGCGGUUUUUUAAGUCUGAUGUGAAAGCCCACGGCUCAACCGUGGAGGGUCAUUGGAAACUGGAAAACUUGAGUGCAGAAGAGGAAAGUGGAAUUCCAUGUGUAGCGGUGAAAUGCGCAGAGAUAUGGAGGAACACCAGUGGCGAAGGCGACUUUCUGGUCUGUAACUG
rnacentral:rRNA from 1 species